rnacentral:rRNA from 1 species
AUUGAACGCUGGCGGCAUGCUUUACACAUGCAAGUCGAACGGCAGCACGGACUUCGGUCUGGUGGCGAGUGGCGAACGGGUGAGUAAUACAUCGGAACGUACCCAGUAAUGGGGGAUAACUAUCCGAAAGGAUAGCUAAUACCGCAUACGCCCUACGGGGGAAAGAGGGGGAUCGCAAGACCUCUUGUUAUUGGAGCGGCCGAUGGCUGAUUAGCUAGUUGGUGAGGUAAAGGCUCACCAAGGCGACGAUCAGUAGCGGGUCUUAGAGGACGAUCCGGCACACUGGAACUGAGACACGGUCCAGACUCCUACGGGAGGCAGCAGUGGGGAAUCUUGGACAAUGGGCGCAAGCCUGAUCCAGCAAUGCCGCGUGCGUGAAGAAGGCCUUCGGGUUGUAAAGCGCUUUUGUCAGGGAGCAAAUCCUUGUGGCUAAUACCCACCGGGGAUGAGAGUACCUGAAGAAUAAGGACCGGCUAACUACGUGCCAGCAGCCGCGGUAAAAC